rnacentral:sRNA from 1 species
GCGAUGGAGAGUGAAUCCGCUCUGAAAGAGGGCGAGGGGGCCAGCUUCCAUCUGGUAAGCUGGUGGACGUACUUAUGCCAGCUGUUCACAAAAGGGCUGCAAACUUAUGGGAUUAAGCCCUAACAUGAUCAUGGUGGUGGAAACUGACUCUAAGAAAGACUAUUCCUAUGCAGGCACACUGACAUUUUGGGGACGCUGGCUGUCACAGGCAUGCAUGUGCUCUCAUUCCGCAUAGAAAACAUACAAGGUCACAUAAAAGCAAGAAAAUAUGCGCAGAGAGUGGUUAAGGUAGAUUGGGAUAAUUAGGGCUGACUUUGUGAGUAUGGUUACAGAUGAGGUUCAACAGUAGAGACUCAGCUUGUGAAGCUGAGGUGUUGUUUAUAUCACGAUAUCUAAGGGGAACAUUGGAGAGGAAAACCGAUGAGUACCUGUGUUUCUUUGUGCACCCAGGAAAUGGGAAGGGACAUGGGAUCCUUUAAGGAAGAAGGGACAGUAAUGGAAACACCAAACUGAAAAUGACCUAACAAUACAGAACCUUGGUAACCAGGCAACCCACGGGUUAGAGCAAGGCCUGCAGGUUCGCUUGUCAGAGAUAGUAGAGAGGGCAGGAUGUUCUCUUGCAUAAAGGCUAAGGCUUAAAGAAAGACAGCAGGGAAGAUCAUGAUGGUGUCUGGAGGCGCAGGGUUCACUCUUGCCUUCAAGGACAGGACCACACAGACCGGGUUGAGAAUGCUUCUGCUCAAAAGAACCAUGGAGCCAGGGAGAGAGUCAUGUAUCAGGGCACAGACAAUGAUUUAGCAGAUGAACAAGCUGGUGCCUUCUCUGAAUGAAGGGGACCCUUGGUUGUCCUUGCUUUUCUGUCUACAUAUAAAAGUUCUGCCACACCCCUUCAGGUAUUGGACCUGCUGUCUGUGAGGUAUGCAUACUUCAGUCCUUAUUCUAAAUUGGAUGAACAAAAGAACACCCUGUGUAGCUUUCUGGAAACAUGGAUGGACAAGAACCCUGAGGACUUUUGUGACCCAUCAAACCUGUUACCUCUGUAAUACCUGAAGUCCUACUUGAGUGUGUACACGCCCAACUCUGACCUUAUUGUCCCUGUCAAGAGGCUCCCGACCCAGUUGCAGCAAGAACAUGCCAGGGAUUCACAGGGCAAGAAUGACAGAUUCAUAUCUGGGGAGACACACAUCCUCAGAACCACAGAUUGAAUGGGUAUAAAUCAGCAAAGAAAAGAAUCACUCUGGAGCCAGAACCAACUUGUGCCCCAGAGCUGGAGGGCACAUAAACCUCCAGAAGGUUCUGGGGUUUAUGAGUAGUUGCCUGCCAUAUGUGGCAGCAGCAGUUCAGCCAGCACAGCUGAUAGCAGCUGUGGAAACUGUGUCUCCUUGUGUCUGUAGAUUUCAGUCAUCUCCUGCUUGCUACAGUGGGCCUGCCUAUUUAGAGAAUGGCCCUCUCACCUCUCCUCAUCAAAUUGAGUCUCUCCUGUAUCUGAGCUGCUGCUCCUGUCCCUUAUGAUCAGCUGCUUAUUUCAAUCCAGCAGCAGUUCCAACCCCACAGCCAGCCUACCCCUCCCCUGAGAAAGAGCCAUUUUAGGCAUUCUGAUGUUUUCAAUGUUGUGUUUAUUUUAAGUAUUGGUCUUAAUAAAUUGUUAGUAUUUGGUUUACAUUGAGUAAAAUGUUUAAUACUGUGAGAAAAUGUGUGUAAUUUAUGAAUAUUCUAUUUGAUAAAUUAU